rnacentral:lncRNA from 1 species
CUUGGUCAAGAUUGAUUUGACUUUGUUGGAUUAAAAUCAUUGGAUUUAGGGGAUUGAUGAAAUAUACAUUUCAUCUCCCAAAAUGAAUGAAUAAUUUUAAUUUGAUAAAAGUCCUCCCAUGAUCAAUUGGUGUUUGUCUCAUUUCCCUUCCCUCUUCAUCUUCAAUCUCCUUCUAUCCCAUCCAUUUCAUUGACCUAUGAUAUCUCUAUAUCCUAAGGCUAAUUGGUUCAUAAACCAAUACAAGUAUGG